GCCGAAGUAGCUCAGGGGUAGAGCAACUGAUUCGUAAUCAGUGGGUCGGAGGUUCAAUUCCUCUCUUCGGCACCA
rnacentral:tRNA from 2 species